rnacentral:rRNA from 1 species
UACGUAGGAUCCAAGCGUUGUCCGGAUUUACUGGGUGUAAAGGGUGCGUAGGCGGAAUGGUAAGUCAGAGGUGAAAUCUCAUCGCUCAACGGUGAAACUGCCUUUGAUACUAUCAUUCUUGAGUCCGAUAGAGAUCUGUGGAAUUCCGAGUGUAGCAGUGAAAUGUGUAGAUAUUCGGAAGAACACCAGUGGCGAAGGCAGCAGAUUGGGUCGGUACUGACGCUCAGGCACGAAAGCAUGGGGAUCAAACAGG